rnacentral:rRNA from 1 species
AUGACACCACAAUAUAUUCAUUCAAUGGUUGCUUAUGGUUCAGUAUAUAAGCAAGAGGCAUAUGACAGAAGGCAAGAGUCAAUUGACGAGGAAAGUGAUGAAGCGGUUGAGAAGAUGGUGAAACCAAAGAGUAUUAAAGUCAAGGAUGUCGAUGUUGAUAGGACAACUGAUCUCUCCAUGCCUGUUUUGGCUCCAUAUACAUGGCCUUGCCCCCAUAUUGGGGGGGGGGGGGGGAUCCUUGCCCCCAUAUUGAAUUCUUGUUUUUCUAAUGCUAUAAUAAUAAUAAUAAUAGAAAUUUGUUGUUGUUAUGUAGGAAAUGAUCGGAAGCUUCUUGAAAAAUGGCCCCUUGUGUUUCAUGGCUUAUUGCAACGUAUUCCCCAUAUGGGCCUUUGGAGAGUAUCACAGAUUAGUAUAUUGCUCUGUCUAAAUUGGUACCUUGUGGUAUGA